ACAGAAUCCAGCCGGACUAGCCUCUGGACUCGCGGCCACCGAUCGAAACCGCUCAACCGCUGGACAGCACGCGGCGCAACGACCAUGGCAGAAACGAUCGGACGACGACCGAAGCCGCCUCUCCUGUACCCAUUGCGGCGGUAAGAAGCACACCAAAGAUGGUUGUUUCCUACUAAUCGGAUUUCCCGAGUGGUGGGAUGAGAUGAAACGAAAUAGAGCAGCACGGGCAGCGAAUCGAGGAGGACGGGUCGCAACCGUCCUUAGCGACCGGGCUACCGACGCCGGUGGAUCGACGGGCAGCGCCGGCGCGACGCACGGCAGCACAGGAGCGGAGCAGCGGGACGGCGAGAAUGGACAGUGUUCAGCGGCUAGGGUUUUUUCAGGAUAUCAAGACGGGGACGAUGAUUGGGCGUGGCACUGAACGACGAGGGCUUUAUUAUGUAGACAGGAUGGCCCAACACGGUACUGCGAUGCUGACUCAAGGACCGACUUCGUCACAAGCCUGGAUUUGGCAUCGCCGGUUAGGACACCCGUCUAUAGGAUAUUUACGUUUACUGUUUCCUAAACUUACUACCAGUCUUCCCUAUUUGAAUUGUGAGACUUGUUUUUUGGCCAAGAGCCAUAGACACACGUUUAAAUUUAGUAAUACGCGUGAAAAAAUUCCUUUUUCCA